GGUCUGGUGGUCUAGUGGUAUGAUUCUCGCUUAGGGUACACCCUAUGCUCAAUUUGCGAGAGGUCCCGGGUUCAAUCCCCGGCCAGACCC
rnacentral:tRNA from 1 species